GGCGAACGGGUGAGUAACACGUGGGUAACCUGCCCAUCAGAAGGGGAUAACACUUGGAAACAGGUGCUAAUACCGUAUAACAAUCGAAACCGCAUGGUUUUGAUUUGAAAGGCGCUUUCGGGUGUCGCUGAUGGAUGGACCCGCGGUGCAUUAGCUAGUUGGUGAGGUAACGGCUCACCAAGGCCACGAUGCAUAGCCGACCUGAGAGGGUGAUCGGCCACAUUGGGACUGAGACACGGCCCAAACUCCUACGGGAGGCAGCAGUAGGGAAUCUUCGGCAAUGGACGAAAGUCUGACCGAGCAACGCCGCGUGAGUGAAGAAGGUUUUCGGAUCGUAAAACUCUGUUGUUAGAGAAGAACAAGGAUGAGAGUAACUGUUCAUCCCUUGACGGUAUCUAACCAGAAAGCCACGGCUAACUACGUGCCAGCAGCCGCGGUAAUACGUAGGUGGCAAGCGUUGUCCGGAUUUAUUGGGCGUAAAGCGAGCGCAGGCGGUUUCUUAAGUCUGAUGUGAAAGCCCCCGGCUCAACCGGGGAGGGUCAUUGGAAACUGGGAGACUUGAGUGCAGAAGAGGAGAGUGGAAUUCCAUGUGUAGCGGUGAAAUGCGUAGAUAUAUGGAGGAACACCAGUGGCGAAGGCGGCUCUCUGGUCUGUAACUGACGCUGAGGCUCGAAAGCGUGGGGAGCAAACAGGAUUAGAUACCCUGGUAGUCCACGCCGUAAACGAUGAGUGCUAAGUGUUGGAGGGUUUCCGCCCUUCAGUGCUGCAGCUAACGCAUUAAGCACUCCGCCUGGGGAGUACGACCGCAAGGUUGAAACUCAAAGGAAUUGACGGGGGCCCGCACAAGCGGUGGAGCAUGUGGUUUAAUUCGAAGCAACGCGAAGAACCUUACCAGGUCUUGACAUCCUUUGACCACUCUAGAGAUAGAGCU
rnacentral:rRNA from 1 species